CUAGGCUUGAACUGCAGUGGCCGUCCCUAGAAAUAGGGAUUUCCCUUCGGGGACUGCUGUAGAGGUGCUGCACGGCUGUCGUCAGCUCGUGUCGUGAGAUGUUGGGUUAAGUCCCGCAACGAGCGCAACCCUCGUCCUGUGUUACCAAAAAUUGGGACUCGCAGGAGACCGCCAGCGACAAGCUGGAGGAAGGUGGGGACGACGUCAAGUCAUCGUGGCCUUUACGUCUAGGGCUACACACGUGCUACAAUGGGCGGUACAACGGGUUGCGAAGUCGCAAGGCGGAGCUAAUCCCUAAAAGCCGUCCCCAGUUCGGAUUGCAGGCUGCAACUCGCCUGCAUGAAGUUGGAAUCGCUAGUAAUGGCGUAUCAG
rnacentral:rRNA from 1 species